rnacentral:rRNA from 1 species
UAGGGAAUCUUCCACAAUGGACGAAAGUCUGAUGGAGCAACGCCGCGUGAGUGAAGAAGGGUUUCGGCUCGUAAAACUCUGUUGUUAAAGAAGAACAUAUUUGAGAGUAACUGUUCAGGUAUUGACGGUAUUUAACCAGAAAGCCACGGCUAACUACGUGCCAG